UCUACAUCGUUGCCGUGAACUCAACGGAUAAGUUUUUUGAAUGCAGUUGCAGAAAGUUUGAAUUUAUGGGUAUUUUAUGUUCCCAUAUAUUAAAAGCAACAAAUUAUACCCUCACAAGACUGCCAUCGAAAUACAUCUUAAAGAGGUGGACCAGAGAAGCUGCUUCAUAUUCCUUUCCGUCGGUUGUUAGAGGAUGUGGCUUGGAUGGAGACUCUAAUAAACUAUGUUCUCAUCGUUAUAACAGCUUGAUUUCUAACUUUGUUAAGUUGUCAUCAAUGGGUUGUGAAAGUGAAGAGUCAUUUCAAUGUGUUACUAAAUAUUUUGAGUUGAUGCAUCAGGAAUUGCAAAAAAUAUUUAAAGAAAAAGCAAAAUUAAAAGGACCAUCAUCCAUUGAAGAUUGUUGCAAUAAUAACGAGAGUUAGAGACAGGAUGAUUGUGUAAUUUUAAAUGUUGACAAUGCACAGUUGAAAGAUAAAAUCGUUGAAAUAAAAAAAAGAAGCUCAUGAAACAAGAAUGGGGAAUCUCAAUGACUUUAACAAAGAAGAUCGUGGAAUUAAAAGAAAAGGAAUUGAAAUUGUUGAAGGUAAAGAAGAAGCUUAUAAAAUCAAGAGAAAGGAGCAAUGUCGUGGUAGACCUAGAUUUAAGAAUUGUUUGGAAAAGAAAAAAACAAAGAAACGCCAAAAGAAAGUGCAGAAAAGUGAACCAAUGCUAUACCCUACUAUUGAAGAUCUCAGAGAUGCAUCAAAUCCAAUCCAUCAUCAUACAUGUCUCACACAGGGAUACAAUGGUGUUUGUUUGGAUCCCGUGACUACGUACUUUCAAUCAGGGUUAUCUCAUUCCGUCAUUCAACCACAUCAAGCCGUCCAGGGCCAUCUCCAACCCUCGAUUCACUUUCCUAAUAAUUUAAGUUUCACUCAAUUACUUAAGUAAUAGACAAGCCCCUCAAGAACAACGACGAUUUCGUCUGGGCAAUCGAUACUCCACUUGCAGGGAAAUUCAUCAACGACGUUGA